rnacentral:lncRNA from 1 species
UAUUCUUGCAUCACUACACUUUCACACAUUGUACACUUUGGUCCCUAUAGCCCCGAUGGCAUUUGCAAGCGGUUCUUUGGUUCUAAUCUAAUCCUAGAAUUACGACAAUGGCUACCAUCACUCACAAGUAAUGAGUGAAUUUCCUUUGUUGUAUGGAUCCUUGAGUGGGGAGAUGAGCUAAGGAAGAACACUUUUUGCUUGUGGAAACCUUUUAUCCUUACUCAGGACUCAACUUAUGGUAAUGAC